rnacentral:rRNA from 1 species
UUCCGGUUGAUCCCGCCGGAGGCCAUUGCUAUUGGGAUCCGAUUUAGCCAUGCUAGUUGUACGAGUUCAGACUCGUAGCGAAUAGCUCAGUAACACGUGGCCAAUCUACCCUUCGGAGCGCGAUAACCUCGGGAAACUGAAGCUAAUAGUGCAUAUCACACCUACGCUGGAAUGCGGGGUGUGUCAAACGCUCAGGCGCCGAAGGAUGAGGCUGCGGCCGAUUAGGUAGACGGUGGGGUAACGGCCCACCGUGCCGAUAAUCGGUACGGGUCAUGAGAGUGAGAACCCGGAGACGGAAUCUGAGACAAGAUUCCGGGCCCUACGGGGCGCAGCAGGCGCGAAACCUUUACACUGCACGCCAGUGCGAUAAGGGGAUCCCAAGUGCGUAGGCAUAGAGCCUACGCUUUUGUGAACCGUAGGGAGGUUCACGAAUAAGGGCUGGGCAAGACCGGUGCCAGCCGCCGCGGUAAUACCGGCAGCCCGAGUGAUGGCCGAUUUUAUUGGGCCUAAAGCGUCCGUAGCUGGCCGCGCAAGUCCAUUGGGAAAUCUCCCCGCUCAACGGGGAGGCGCCCGGUGGAAACUGCGUGGCUUGGGACCGGAAGGCGCGACGGGUACGUCCGGGGUAGGAGUGAAAUCCUGUAAUCCUGGACGGACCGCCGAUGGCGAAAGCACGUCGCGAGAACGGAUCCGACAGUGAGGGACGAAAGCUAGGGUCUCGAACCGGAUUAGAUACCCGGGUAGUCCUAGCCGUAAACGAUGCCUGUUAGGUGUGGCUCCCACUACGAGUGGGUGCUGUGCCGUAGGGAAGCCGCUAAACAGGCCGCCUGGGAAGUACGUCCGCAAGGAUGAAACUUAAAGGAAUUGGCGGGGGAGCACUACAACCGGAGGAGCCUGCGGUUUAAUUGGAUUCAACGCCGGA